rnacentral:rRNA from 1 species
UACGUAGGGUGCGAGCGUUGUUCGGAAUUACUGGGCGUAAAGGGCGCGUAGGCGGCACAGCAAGUCGGGAGUGAAAGCCCGGGGCUCAACCCCGGAAUGGCUUUCGAAACUGCUGAGCUAGAGUACAGAAGGGGCAACCGGAAUUCCCAGUGUAGCGGUGAAAUGCGUAGAUAUUGGGAAGAACACCUGAGGCGAAGGCGGGUUGCUGGGCUGAUACUGACGCUGAGGCGCGAAAGCCAGGGGAGCAAACGGG